AUGGACGGAGCAAGUCAAAGAAUGGCAGGCAGAGCUCCACGAACCACAAGAAUUUCAACAAAUCAAAGUCUGUUGAAUGUUGGAACUGUGGUCAGGUCGGGCACUACAGAACGCAGUGUAAAGUACCUUCAAAGGGAAACGAGAAAAAGACCGAAGCCAAUGUUGUGGCUGAAGGAGAAGUACAGAUCAAACUCAAUGAAUCUGUAUGAAGGAGAAGGACGUGAGACAUAUUCCAAAGUUGAGGAAUAACUUGAUCUCCGUCAAGCAAUUGUCGAGAGAAGGAUGUGAUACACACCUCUCAGGUGAUUGUUGGAAAAUCACUAGGGGCGCAAUGAUUCUUGCACGUGGCAAGGAUACUGGCAGCCUAUACACAACGAUGAAUGCGUGUGUGACAAUUGCAGUUGCUGAUAGCAAGAAGAAUGCAAAUUUGUGGCACCAAAGACUUGGGCACAUGAGCCAGAAAGGGCUCAAGUAUAUGCAUUCGAAAGGGAAACUACCAGAAGAGGGUGAGUUUCAACACAAGUGGUAGAACUCUGAAGCAAGUAAAGCUUGAGUUAGUCCACACAGAUGUUUGGGGCC
rnacentral:lncRNA from 1 species